AAGAAAGGGAAAAGGAAAAAAGGUGUUUAUGCCAAUGAAUUGUGCAAUUUAAAUAGCCCAAAGUCUAGGAUAAGAGAAGCCCUGUAAUAUCCAAAUAUCACAGUUUUUUUUUUCUUGGACCUGCAGUAGCGGUCAGCUCAAGACAGAAUGUCCUAAUGCUGCUCUUCUGGACUCUUAUAAAUGGGGACAUAGUUAUGGAAUAAAAAAAUUUACAUCAUAUGCACAUGGCACUUACUACAUGCCCAUGUACCAUCGUAGGCACUUAACUCAUGUCAUUCUCACAGCCAUCCUUUGGGGUAAGCACCUAUUAGUGCCCAUUUUGUAGAAGAGGACGCCUAGGCCUAGAAUUGCCCUAAGUCACGGGUUGAUCACUGGUGGAGUUAGGAUUUGAAUGCCGUCAGGCAGGUGCCAGAGCUCAUUUGCUGAAUCACCUAAUUCUGACUAACCGCCUCUCUGAAGGUACGCUGGAAGGGUAGAGAGAAAGAACGUUACUUGACUGCAUCAUUGUAGGCACAGCUAAAUACGUGGUUGCACACCUUUUGGCUCCUCAUGCAGCAGCAGGAAAUUUGACACCAGUGUGUUUGCUUUCCUUUCUGUAUGUGACCUUGGUGGGGAGCAGAUAGACUCUCAGUGUCACCCAGAAUGUGCUGACUUCCCACAGCUCCGACAUCAUUGCAAAAGGCUGUACUUCCUGUUAAAAUUUCAUGUGUGUGUUCACACUCAAAAGCUAAUAACUGCUGACUCUUCUGUGGGUUCUCUCAAUCUGGAGAACAUCCUUCCUACCAGGCGGUGAAGUGGUUCAGCAAUGAAAAACAACAUACUUUGGAACACCCCCAGCGAUCUGGAAAUGUUGCUCUGUUAUAGGAAUAGACACAGCAUGAUUUUAACAAUUGUGAAAGUUCCCUUAUGAAGACCAGGAAAAAAGUUGGGCUAAACGGACAGAACACAAAUUCUCUGGGCAGCCCCGGUGGCCCAGUGGUUUAGUGCCGCCUUCCGCCUGGG